GAUGAACGCUGGCGGCGUGCCUAAUACAUGCGAGUCGAGCGAACGGACGAGAAGCUUGCUUCUCUGAUGUUAGCGGCGGACGGGUGAGUAACACGUGGAUAACCUACCUAUAAGACUGGGAUAACUUCGGGAAACCGGAGCUAAUACCGGAUAAUAUUUUGAACCGCAUGGUUCAAGAGUGAAAGACGGUCUUGCUGUCACUUAUAGAUGGAUCCGCGCUGCAUUAGCUAGUUGGUAAGGUAACGGCUUACCAAGGCAACGAUGCAUAGCCGACCUGAGAGGGUGAUCGGCCACACUGGAACUGAGACACGGUCCAGACUCCUACGGGAGGCAGCAGUAGGGAAUCUUCCGCAAUGGGCGAAAGCCUGACGGAGCAACGCCGCGUGAGUGAUGAAGGUCUUCGGAUCGUAAAACUCUGUUAUUAGGGAAGAACAUAUGUGUAAGUAACUGUGCACAUCUUGACGGUACCUAAUCAGAAAGCCACGGCUAACUACGUG
rnacentral:rRNA from 1 species